AUUCCCGCGUAUGUACUUGUUAAGCCUUUAAGAAAGAAGUUUAUAACUUAAGGAAUUAUAACAAAGAAGUAACACAUAAUAAGGUUGCCUUAUUUAGUGUGUAUCAAUCGAGUUUCUGACCUAUCAGCUUUUGAUGUUAGGGUAUUGGCCUAACAUGGCUAUGACGGGUAACGGGGAAUUAGAGUUCGAUUCCGGAGAGGGAGCCUGAGAAAUAGCUACCACAUCUAAGGAAGGCAGCAGGCGCGUAAAUUACCCAAUUCUAAAGAAGAGAGGUAGUGACAAGAAAUAACAAUACAAGGCCAUUUCAUGGUUUUGUAAUUGGAAUGAUGGGAAUUUAAAACCUUCCCAAAAUUCAAUUGGAGGGCAAGUCUGGUGCCAGCAGCCGCGGUAAUUCCAGCUCCAAUAGCGUAUAUUAAAAUUGUUGCAGUUAAAACGCUCGUAGUUGAAUUUCAAAGAAUCAAUAUUUUAAGUAAUACUUUUGCUAUAAGAUGCUUAGACAAUACAACGUAUCUGUUCUUUGCAUUCCUUAUGCAAAAUGUGUUCUUAUUAUAAAAAGGAUUCUUUUUAAAAUCUCUUUUGCUAUUUUUUAGUAUGGGGGAUUUGGUUACUUUGAGUAAAUUGGGGUGUUCAAAGCAAACAGUUAAAGCAUUUUACUGCGUUUGAAUACUACAGCAUGGAAUAACAAAAUUGAACAAGUCAGAAUUCUGUUCUUUUUUCUUGUUUUGGCU
rnacentral:rRNA from 1 species